rnacentral:ncRNA from 1 species
GCAGCCGCGGUAAUUCCAGCUCCAAUAGCGUAUAUUUAAGUUGUUGCAGUUAAAAAGCUCGUAGUUGGACCUUGGGCCGGGUCGGCCGGUCCGCCUCACGGCGAGCACCGACCUACUCGACCCUUCGGCUCGCAUCGCGCUCCUAGCCUUAAUUGGCCGGGUCGGGUUUUCGGCAUCGUUACUUUGAAGAAAUUAGAGUGCUCAAAGCAAGCCAUCGCUCUGGAUAUAUUAGAAUGGGAUAACAUCUAUAGAAUCC